rnacentral:rRNA from 1 species
GACGAACGCUGGCGGCGUGCUUAACACAUGCAAGUCGAACGCGCCUGUCCUCUGGGUUUCUGGGGGGUGGGUGAGUGGCGAACGGGUGAGUAACACGUGAGUAACCUGCCCCCUUCUUCGGGAUAACGGUCUGAAAGGGCUGCUAAUACCGGGUAUUCACUGGUCUCCGCAUGGGGUCUGGUGGAAAGGUUUUUUUCUGGUGGGGGAUGGGCUCGCGGCCUAUCAGCUUGUUGGUGGGGUGAUGGCCCACCAAGGCUUUGACGGGUAGCCGGCCUGAGAGGGUGACAGGUCACAUUGGGACUGAGAUACGGCCCAGACUCCUACGGGAGGCAGCAGUGGGGAAUAUUGCACAAUGGGCGCAAGCCUGAUGCAGCGACGCCGCGUGAGGGAUGGAGGCCUUCGGGUUGUGAACCUCUUUCGCCCGUGGUCAAGCCGCGACGUGGGUCGUGGUGAGGGUAGUGGGUAAAGAAGCGCCGGCUAACUACGUG